rnacentral:rRNA from 1 species
CAGUAGCCGCGGUAAUACGUAGGGUGCAAGCGUUGUUCGGAAUUACUGGGCGUAAAGUGCGCGUAGGCGGUUACUCAAGUCAGAGGUGAAAGCCCGGGGCUCAACCCCGGAACUGCCUUUGAAACUAGGUGACUAGAAUCUUGGAGAGGUCAGUGGAAUUCCGAGUGUAGAGGUGAAAUUCGUAGAUAUUCGGAAGAACACCAGUGGCGAAGGCGACUGACUGGACAAGUAUUGACGCUGAGGUGCGAAAGCGUGGGGAGCAAACAGGAUUAGAUACCCGAGUAGUCCCUGUCUCUUAUAC